ACGUACGCUGGCGGCACGCCUAACACAUGCAAGUCGAACGCAGUAGCAAUACUGAGUGGCAAACGGGUGAGUAACAUGUGGGUAUCUGCCCUUCGGCCUGGAAUAACACGAGGAAACUUGUGCUAAUACCGGAUAAGUCUUUACAGAGAAAGCUUUAUGCACCGAUGGAUGAGCCCGCACCUGAUUAGUUAGUUGGUGAGGUAAUGGCUCACCAAGACAAUGAUCAGUAGCUGAUUUGAGAGGAUGAUCAGCCACAUUGGGACUGAGACACGGCCCAAACUCCUACGGGAGGCAGCAGUGGGGAAUCUUGCACAAUGGGGGAAACCCUGAUGCAGCGAUGCCGCGUGAGUGAAGAAGGCCCUUGGGUUGUAAAGCUCUUUCGUCGGGGAAGAAAAUGACUGUACCCGAAUAAGAAGGUCCGGCUAACUUCGUGCCAGCAGCCGCGGUAAUACGAAGGGACCUAGCGUAGUUCGGAAUUACUGGGCUUAAAGAGUUCGUAGGUGGUUAAAAAAGUUGGUGGUGAAAUCCCAGAGCUUAACUCUGGAACUGCCAUCAAAACUUUUUAGCUAGAGUAUGAUAGAGGAAAGUAGAAUUUCUAGUGUAGAGGUGAAAUUCGUAGAUAUUAGAAAGAAUACCGAUUGCGAAGGCAACUUUCUGGAUCAUUACUGACACUGAGGAACGAAAGCAUGGGUAGCGAAGAGGAUUAGAUACCCUCGUAGUCCAUGCCGUAAACGAUGUGUGCUAGACGUUGGAAAUUUAUUUUCAGUGUCGCAGCAAAAGCAUUAAGCACACCGCCUGGGGAGUACGACCGCAAGGUUAAAACUCAAAUGAAUUGACGGGGACCCGCACAAGUAGUGGAGCAUGUGGUUUAAUUCGAAGAUACGCGCAGAACCUUACCAACACUUGACAUGUUCGUCGCGACUCUAAGAGAUUAGAGUUUUCGGUUCGGCCGGACGAAACACAGGUGCUGCAUGGCUGUCGUCAGCUCGUGUCGUGAGAUGUUGGGUUAAGUCCCGCAACGAGCGCAACCCUCACUUUUAGUUGCCAUCAUUAAGUUGGGCACUCUGAAAGAACUGCCAGUGAUAAGCUGGAGGAAGGUGGGGAUGACGUCAAGUCCUCAUGGCCCUUACGUGUUGGGCUACACACGUGCUACAAUGGCAUCUACAACAGGAAGCAAAACGGCAACGUUAAGCAAAUCCCGAAAAGAUGCCUCAGUUCGGAUUGCACUCUGCAACUCGAGUACAUGAAGCUGGAAUUACUAGUAAUCGUGGAUCAGCGUGCCACGGUGAAUGCGUUCCCGGGUCUUGUACACACCGC
rnacentral:rRNA from 1 species